ensembl:misc_RNA 7SK 7SK RNA
GGAUGUGAGGGCGAUCUGGCUGUAAUAUCUGCCACCCCAUUGGUCACCAGGGUUGAUUCGGCUGAUCUGGCUGGCUAUGCGGGUGUCCCUUCCUUCCUCACCACUCCAUGUGCGUCUCGCGUCUCUCUGGAAGCCAGGCUUUCAGUCACAGUCACAGAGGUAUACGAGUAGCUGCACUCCUCUGCUAGAAACUCCAAACAAGCUCUCAAGGUCCAUUUGUAGGAGAAUGUAGAAUAGUCAAGUUUCCAAGACUCCAGACACAUCCAAAUGAGGUGCUGCAUGUGGCAGUCUGCCUUUCUUU